rnacentral:rRNA from 1 species
CCUACGGGAGGCAGCAGUAGGGAAUCUUCCGCAAUGGACGAAAGUCUGACGGAGCAACGCCGCGUGAGCGAUGAAGGCCUUCGGGUCGUAAAGCUCUGUUGUUAGGGAAGAACAAGUAUCGGAGUAACUGCCGGUACCUUGACGGUACCUAACCAGAAAGCCACGGCUAACUACGUG